UGCGUAGAGAUCUGGAGGAAUACCCGUGGCGAAGGCGGCCCCCUGGACGAGACUGACGCUCAGGUGCGAAAGCGUGGGGAGCAAACCGGAUUAGAUACCCUGGUAGUCCACGCCGUAAACGAUGUCGACUUGGAGGUUGUGCCCUUGAGGCGUGGCUUCCGGAGCUAACGCGUUAAGUCGACCGCCUGGGGAGUACGGCCGCAAGGUUAAAACUCAAAUGAAUUGACGGGGGCCCGCACAAGCGGUGGAGCAUGUGGUUUAAUUCGAUGCAACGCGAAGAACCUUACCUGGUCUUGACAUCCACGGAAGUUUUCAGAGAUGAGAAUGUGCCUUCGGGAACCGUGAGACAGGUGCUGCAUGGCUGUCGUCAGCUCGUGUUGUGAAAUGUUGGGUUAAGUCCCGCAACGAGCGCAACCCUUAUCCUUUGUUGCCAGCGGUCCGGCCGGGAACUCAAAGGAGACUGCCAGUGAUAAACUGGAGGAAGGUGGGGAUGACGUCAAGUCAUCAUGGCCCUUACGACCAGGGCUACACACGUGCUACAAUGGCGCAUACAAAGAGAAGCGACCUCGCGAGAGCAAGCGGACCUCAUAAAGUGCGUCGUAGUCCGGAUUGGAGUCUGCAACUCGACUCCAUGAAGUCGGAAUCGCUAGUAAUCGUGGAUCAGAAUGCCACGGUGAAUACGUUCCCGGGCCCUUGUACACACCGCCCGUCACACCAUGGGAGUGGGUUGCAAAAGAAGUAGGUAGCUUAACCUUCGGGAGGGCGCUUACCACUUUGUGAUUCAUGACUGGGGUGAAGUCGUAACAAGGUAACCA
rnacentral:rRNA from 1 species